CAGUAGCCGCGGUAAUACGAGGGGGGCAAGCGUUGUUCGGAAUUAUUGGGCGUAAAGGGUGCGUAGGCGGUUUGGCAAGUCUUAUGUGAAAUCUUCAGGCUCAACCUGAAGUCUGCAUGAGAAACUGCCGGGCUUGAGUAUUGGAGAGGUGAGUGGAAUUUCCGGUGUAGCGGUGAAAUGCGUAGAUAUCGGAAGGAACACCUGUGGCGAAAGCGGCUCACUGGACAAUAACUGACGCUGAGGCACGAAAGCUAGGGGAGCAAACAGGAUUAGAUACCCCAGUAGUCCCUGUCUCUUAUAC
rnacentral:rRNA from 1 species